GGUGCCUGGAGCACUUCCCACAUCUCUUCCCUCCUCCCAGCUCUGCAGCCAUCACACCCCGGGUGCCUGAUGACAAGUGGCAGUGCUGCCACACCUUCCAGAUGUGUGCCUGCUGCCCAAGGGCACGGCACAGAUGGCGAGUGCCAGCGUUCCCUGGAAAGCUGGGGCCAGGCACGCAGGCUGUUCUGCCUGUGCUGGGCUCCUCCAGCCCGUGCUGGGGGGAAAUGAACCGGCACAAACAGCUCGAGCUUUCAUCUCCAGGGAGCUGUUACUGAAGGCAGCGGUCCAUGGGACACUCCUCUUGCAGCCCAGGCAGGGGCAGGGCACCACAGCAGCAAAGAUUAUCACUGGGGCACAGGGAGGAGGGCGAGGGAUGCUGGGCCUGUCCCCACCCCCUGCUCCAGCUUUCCUCUGCACAGAGCCACCAGCAUCCAAACCAGGUCAAUCUUGCCCAGGAACCAGGUGCAGAGGAAGAUUUAGGGGAUCUGGAUUAUGCCACAGGGGACAGGAGGGCUCCCAGCAGAGCUUGUCCACCAAUUUUGGGACACUGGGUACAACUGAUGGGGCCCAAGCCCAAACCCAGCACUUGCUUUCAGGUUUAUGCAGUCACGAGCUGCACUGCAACAGGCAGAACAGCAAAUCCUCCACCUCUGGAGAGGACACUUGGGAUGGGGAAGAGGAAGACAAGACUUCCUGCUGCACUGAGGACUGCAUCCAAGCCCUGCUGUUACCUUGGAAGCAGCUGAACAUAACCUGUAUUUCCAUGUGUCCUGAGUGGGUACAGAGCUCCCAUGGCCCAGGAGCAGCUGCAGCUCUUGUGAAAUGAGGAAGGAAGAAGCAGCAAUUCCUCUCUGCAAGGCUAUAAAGCCAAUAAGGACCCCCUGAGAUGAAAGGUACUCCAUAAAUCUGAGCUGUUAUUAUAAAACCAAUCUCCUCCACAUCUCUUAAUAAUGCAGAUUAACUGUGCAGUACCACCACUAUAAUUAAUAUCAUAAAAGUCAGAGAUGGGAAAGGCCAGCAGGCCAGCGAGGCCAUGCCAUGGACUGCUCCCCACAGCACAGGGAAAGGGGAAACUCCUGGGUGCCACAGGAGCUGGGGACAGCAAAGGGAAUUAUCUAGGUUGGAGAAGACAACUGAGUCAAACCAUUAACGCAGCACUGCCAAGGCCACCACAAACCAUGUCCCCAGGUGUGACUUCCAGAAACCUUUUGAAUCCCUCCAAGGAUGGUAUAACUUCACUGCUGACCUGAGCAGUCUGUGCCAGGGCUUGACAACA